CGGGUUCAAAUGCAGUCUGCAUAGGGCAGAGAUGUCCUUUUCCAGCAAUGGACUGGCUGCAAGGUGCUGCAUGGUUGUCGUCAGCUCGUGCCGUGAGGUGUCGGGUCAAGUCCCAUAACGAGCGCAACCCUUGCCUUCUGUUGCCAGCGGGUAAAGCCGGGGACUCAGGGGGGACUGCCGCCGUAAGGCGAGAGGAAGGGGGGGAUGACGUCAAAUCAGCACGGCCCUUACAUCCGGGGCGACACACGUGUUACAAUGGUCGGUACAGAGGGAAGCCAGGCGGCGACGCCGAGCGGAUCUUUAAAGCCGGCCGUAGUUCGGAUCGGAGUCUGCAACUCGACUCCGUGAAGCUGGAUUCGCUAGUAAUCGCAUAUCAGCCAUGAUGCGGUGAAUACGUUCCCGGGCC
rnacentral:rRNA from 1 species